UACGGAAGGGGCAAGCGUUGUUCGGAAUUAUUGGGCGUAAAGCGCGUGUAGGCGGCUUAGCAAGUCGGGCGUGAAAGCCCUCGGCUCAACCGAGGAAGUGCACCCGAAACUGCUGAGCUUGAGUGCCGGAGAGGAUGGCGGAAUUCCCCAAGUAGAGGUGAAAUUCGUAGAUAUGGGGAGGAACACCGGUGGCGAAGGCGGCCAUCUGGACGGUAACUGACGCUGAGACGCGAAAGCGUGGGUAGCAAACAGG
rnacentral:rRNA from 1 species